UUAGAGGCAAACGGGUGGACCCGCAAUACGUCGACCCGGGGGAUUCAACCAGGCCGUGCGUUCGGGACGCGUGGGGGUUAUGCGGAGCUGUAAAGCCCGUGCCUCUGCGUAGGUCUCCGGGCGGACUGGUGCACUUUCCUCGGGUUGAUUGCCACGACCGGCUCUCCGUGCGGCCACAAGCCUUUGCUGGGAAGGUGACCGUCGGCCUCCGCGCCGGCGGUGUUAUAGACCAGCUUGUUCGUUGAGCUCGUCGGAGGGCCGAGGAAGUGUUGCCGUUUCUCAGCCACCCUCCGGCCAUCCUUGCUCGUCACGACUGGGGUGAACUGCUUCGUCAGUGCUCUCCCGACCGCGAGCGUAGGAAGGGCUGGUACGGUGCGAGAAAGCUUCGGGCCAGUGGCGAAUCGGUCGGUCCUCCACCCGACCCGUCUUGAA
rnacentral:rRNA from 1 species